rnacentral:rRNA from 1 species
CGUAGUUUGAUCAUGGCUCAGGAUGAACGCUAGCGGCAGGCUUAAUACAUGCAAGUCAAGGGGGUAGCAAUACAACCGGCGCACGGGUGAGUAACGCGUACACAACAUACCAUAUACUGGAGUAUAGCUUUGGGAAACUGAAGGUAAUCCUCCAUAACAUUGCGAGAGGGCAUCUGAUUGCAAUUAAGGUUUCGGCGGUAUAUGAUUGGUGUGCGUUUGAUUAGCUAGUUGGUAGGGUAACGGCCUACCAAGGCGACGAUCAAUAGCUGGCGUGAGAGCGCGACCAGCCACACUGGAACUGAGACAUGGUCCAGACUCCUACGGGAGGCAGCAGUAGGGAAUAUUGGACAAUGGAGGAAACUCUGAUCCAGCCAUGCCGCGUGAUAGAUGAAGGCCCUCUGGGUUGUAAAUAUCUUUUAUCUGGGAAGAAACACUCCUAUUCUUAGGAACUUGACGGUACCAGAGGAAUAAGCACCGGCUAACUCCGUG